rnacentral:rRNA from 1 species
AACGCGAAGAACCUUACCAGCCCUUGACAUCCCGGUCGCGGGAACCAGAGAUGGAUCCCUUCAGUUCGGCUGGACCGGAGACAGGUGCUGCAUGGCUGUCGUCAGCUCGUGUCGUGAGAUGUUGGGUUAAGUCCCGCAACGAGCGCAACCCUCGCCCUUAGUUGCCAUCAUUCAGUUGGGCACUCUAAGGGGACUGCCGGUGAUAAGCCGCGAGGAAGGUGGGGAUGACGUCAAGUCCUCAUGGCCCUUACGGGCUGGGCUACACACGUGCUACAAUGGCGGUGACAGUGGGACGCAAUGGAGCAAUCCUGCGCAAAUCUCAAAAAGCCGUCUCAGUUCGGAUUGUGCUCUGCAACUCGACCCCAUGAAGUCGGAGUCGCUAGUAAUCGCAGAUCAGCAACGCUGCGUGAAUACGUUCCCGGGCCUUGUACACACCGUAGUAC